GACUUUGUAGUUGAAAAAAACAAUACCGGAAUAAAAAUUUCGGGGGUGGGGGUUCGUCCCUCCAAAGUUU
rnacentral:tRNA from 1 species